CGGCCUCAGAUUGGUAGGACUACCCGCUGAACUUAAGCAUAUCAAUAAGCGGAGGAAAAGAAACUAACAAGGAUUCCCCUAGUAACGGCGAGUGAAGAGGGAAGAGCCCAAGAUUGAAAGCUGGCGUCUUCGGCGUCCGCAUUGUAAUCUCAAGAAGUGUUUUCCGCUUCGGACCAAGCCUAAGUCCCCUGGAAAGGGGCAUCAUAGAGGGUGAUAAUCCCGUACAUGGCUUGGAGCGCCCGAGGCUUUGUGAUACGCUUUCUAAGAGUCGAGUUGUUUGGGAAUGCAGCUCAAAAUGGGUGGUAAAUGCCAUCUAAGGCUAAAUAUUGGGGAGAGACCGAUAGCGAACAAGUACAGUGAUGGAAAGAUGAAAAGAACUUUGAAAAGAGAGUUAAACAGUACGUGAAAUUGCCAAAAGGGAAGGGUAGGAGGUCAGAGAUGCGGCCUGGGAUUCAGCCUUGCUUUUGCUUGGUGUUUUUCCCAGAUUGCAGGCCAACGUCGGUUUUGGGCACUGGAGAAGGGUAGGAGGAACGUGGCACCCCUCGGGGUGUGUUAUAGCCUCCUACUGGAUACAGCGACCGAGACCGAGGACAGCAGCGUACUCGCAAGAGCGGGCCUUCGGGCACCUUUACGCUUAGGGCGUUGGCAUAAUGGCCCUCUACCA
rnacentral:rRNA from 1 species